rnacentral:lncRNA from 1 species
UGUGAUGUGUGUGCUGUUCUGUUGUGGCUGAUAUUAUGGAAGUUGUUCCCCCAAAUGUUUGGAUGCUAAAGUUUUUAUUGUUUUUUUUUUAAAUGUGUAAUUUAUGGCAGUCCUUAUUGAUGCCUUUUUGUAAUAUUUUGGGCUCUUAAUGAGUUCCAUGGAUUUGUUCAUUAUCUCAGGUAUCACAGUUGUGUAUAAUGUUGG